rnacentral:rRNA from 1 species
AUUGAACGCUGGCGGCAUGCGUAACACAUGCAAGUCGAACGGUUGACUGUGCUUGCACAGUUGAUAGUGGCGGACGGGUGAGUAAAGCGUAGGAAUCAGUCCUGAAGAGGGGGAUAGCCUGGGGAAACCUGGGAUAAUACCGCAUAAACUCGAGAGAGAAAAGCAGGGGACCGCAAGGCCUUGUGCUUUAGGAUGAGCCUACGUCAGAUUAGCUAGUUGGUGGGGUAAAGGCCUACCAAGGCGAUGAUCUGUAGCUGGUCUGAGAGGACGAACAGCCACACUGGGACUGAGACACGGCCCAGACUCCUACGGGAGGCAGCAGUGGGGAAUAUUGGACAAUGGGGGAAACCCUGACGCAGCAACGCCGCGUGAAGGAGAAGGCCUUCGGGUUGUAAACUUCUUUGAUAGGGGACGAGUAAUGACGGUACCCUAAAAACAAGACCACGGCUAACUACGUGCCAGCAGCCGCGGUAAACUACGUCUCUA